rnacentral:rRNA from 1 species
GAGAGUCGUAAUGGACUCGGCAUACUGCUCAGUAACACGUGGAUAACCUGCCCUGUUCUAGGGGAUAACCUCGAGAAAUUGAGAAUAAUACCCUAUAUUCCACUACGCCUGGAACGGUGAGUGGAUCAAAGCUCCGGCGGAACAGGAUGGGUCUGCGGCAUAUCAGGUAGUAGUGGGUGUAAUGGACCCACUAGCCUUCGACGUGUACGGGUUGUGGGAGCAAUCGCCCGGAGAUGGAUUCUGAGACACGAAUCCAGACCCUACGGGGUGCAGCAGGCGCGAAAACUUCACACUGCGGGAAACCGCGAUGAGGGAAUUCCAAGUGUCUGGGGUAAGACCCAGUCUUUUCUAGACUCUUAAUAGGUCUUGGAAUAAGGGGGGGGUAAGACCGGUGCCAGCCGCCGCGGUAAUACCGGCCCCCCAAGUGGUCGUCACUUUUAUUGGGCCUAAAACGUCCGUAGCCUGUUUAGUAAACCCGUGGGUAAAUCAACCAGCUUAACUGGUUGAAUUCUGCGGAGACUGCUAGACUAGGGACCGGGAGAGGUACGAGGUACUCUUGGGGUAGGGGUAAAAUCCUGUCAUCCCAGGGGGACCACUUGUUGCGAAGGCGUCGUACUAGAACGGAUCCGACGGUCAGGGACGAAGCCUAGGGGCACGAACCGGAUUAGAUACCCGGGUAGUCCUAGGU